GUUUACUAUGUCAGGGUGGGGGGUGGUGAGGGGGAGAGGAGCAACUUGAGCCUGAACACCUGUCCUUAAUUUCCCUGCUGUCACCAUCAAGGCAUAGUAAACAGAGAAUAAGGUGUCUGAAGACAGCCUAUGUUCCUCUGAGGUUCUGCAGGCAUCUGGGAUGCUUUCCUGUCGCUCAGGUCCAUGACAGGCACCAGUGCAGUGACUGGCACUCUUUCCUCAUCCACAUUGAGCAGAGCAUCCUCCAAAUUCAGGCCUUUUGUACACAUCCAACUCACACCCUUUCUCCAUCACUCUCUUGUCUCCGCUCCCAACCCCUCAAAGCAGCAGAACAAAUGAAUCAUAGAGUUCUUUUAAUGGAAUCCGGCUCUGAAGGAGAAUGUCUGAGUGGAACCAAAGAGAGGAUUCUGAGUCCCCAUUCACCAUCAAGAGAUCAAACAGCAGGUGGAUCACAGAGACACAAGGUGGAGGGCAGGCCGUGAAGAGCCCGGCAAUGGCCAGCACAGUGAUUUCUGACCUAAGCCCUGUGAGACUGCAAGUGGCACAGUCUCCAUUCCCAGUUCCUGAGGAGUUUCCUGCAAUGACUUUGGCUAAAGCCACAGGGAUCCUUGCCUCAGCCAGGACUGUGACUGAUACUACACGUCUCAUUCUUCCUUGCUUCCAGUCUUCCAUUUUUUAAUAAAGCACUUCUGACUACAAGCUUUCAACAUGAAAGUCUGCAGAUGUUGCUCCUCACAAUAUUUAAU
rnacentral:lncRNA from 1 species